GUGUUACUCAUGAGCUCAUGUUUUAGAUAUUGUCUUUAAUGAUCACUGUAAUGAACAUUUUCACCCACCACCUAGAGACCUAAAAAUGCAAUGCUUUAAGGUUUGAAUCAUUGGCAGCGGCCGGCCAAUCACAUUACAUUUUCUGCCAAGUAUCUCUGAAGCAUUACCACUGGCAAUGUAAAAAUAGCUGAUGAGUGAGUAUGUCUGUUACUUGACACCGCAUGGUUAUUCUAAUACGUAUGUUUGCUUCUUCCCCAGCAUGAACUCCAUUUGGUUUCCCCUUGCCUGAUAUCUAUUUAAGUACAUUUUAGUAACUUUGAAUUUCUUGCUCACUUCAUUUCACCUGACUAGGCAGGUCUGUGAGGGCUCAGAGCUUGGUCUCCUCUACUUUUUUUUGUUUUGUUUUCAAUUCUUAUUCCGAUUAAAGAGUCAUGUUAAAAAGGGUAUCCUGGAGCAUAUAAAUAAUGGGAAGUGUUAGUAGUAAGCUAACUGUUCUAUACAGUGGGGUAAGGUUUUGGCUUAACUGAAGAAAGCACAAUGCUGUACUAUUUCUGAUCAGGAAACUGGAUCACAGAAGUAAUUAGAGAGUUCACUAGAGGCCAAAAAUGCUGAAGGUCGAAAACAUAUUACGACACCACUUCUGCCAAAUCUACUUCAUUGAACUAUUUUUAACUCCUCACUAAAGAUGGGCAGCAAUGAGGCCAAAUGCAAGCAUGAGAGGAAGUUCUAAAUACACCCAAGCACGGAUGACAAAAUUACACAAGAGGUUUGUGCCUGCAGUAUCCACUCUCAUAACAGAGGAGAAACUCCCGUUUUGUGAUUCCAUAAGGUGAAUUAAUGUAAAGCAAUACGUUCUGGAAGAAGAAUUCUAGGAGAAAACAUUGCAAACGGUUGGGAAUAUCCAACAGAAUCUUCUACCUAUUUGACAUAUGCAAUUAAUGCUUGGGAUAAUUU
rnacentral:lncRNA from 1 species